UACGUAGGGGGCUAGCGUUGUCCGGAUUUAUUGGGCGUAAAGAGCGUGUAGGCGGCCAGGUGGGUCUGCUGUGAAAACUCGAGGCUCAACCUCGAGACGUCGGCGGAAACCAUCUGGCUAGAGUCCGGAAGAGGAGAAUGGAAUUCCUGGUGUAGCGGUGAAAUGCGCAGAUAUCAGGAAGAACACCCGUGGCGAAGGCGGUUCUCUGGGACGGUACUGACGCUGAGACGCGAAAGCGUGGGGAGCGAACAGG
rnacentral:rRNA from 1 species